UUCCGGUGAUCCCUGCCGGACCUGACUGCUAUCGGAUUGGUACUAAGCCAUGCGAGUCGUUGUAGCAAUACAAGGCGGACGGCUCAGUAACACGUAGUCAACCUAACCUAUGGACGUGGAUAACCUCGGGAAACUGAGAAUAAACCGCGAUAGAUCAUUAUGCCUGGAAUGGCUUAUGGUUCAAACAAUUUAUUGCCGUAGGAUGGGACUGCGGCCUAUCAGCUUGUUGGUGAGGUAAUGGCCCACCAAGGCUAUAACAGGUACGGGCUCUGAGAGGAGAAGCCCGGAGAUGGGUACUGAGACACGGACCCAGGCCCUAUGGGGCGCAGCAGGCGAGAAACCUUAGCAAUGUGCGAAAGCACGACUAGGUUAAUCCGAGUGAUUUCUGUUGAAGAAAUCUUUUGUCAGUCAUAAAACCACAGACGAAUAAGGGGUGGGCAAGUCUGGUGUCAGCCGCCGCGGUAAUACCAGCACCUCGAGUGGUCAGGAGGUUUAUUGGGCCUAAAGCAUCCGUAGCCGGCUACGCAAGUCUCCGGUUAAAUCCAGCUGCUCAACAGAUGGGCUGCCGGAGAUACUACAUAGCUAGGGAGCGGGAGAGGCAGACGGUAUUCUGUGGGUAGGGGUAAAAUCCUUUGAUCCAUAGAGGACCACCAGUGGCGAAGGCGGUCUGCCAGAACGCGUUCGACGGUGAGGGAUGAAAGCUGGGGGAGCAAACCGGAUUAGAUACCCGGGUAGUCCCAGCUGUAAACGAUGCAAACUCGGUGAUGCAUUGGCUUAUGGCCAAUGCAGUGCCGCAGGGAAGCCGUUAAGUUUGCUGCCUGGGAAGUACGGACGCAAGUCUGAAACUUAAAGGAUUGGCGGGGGAGCA
rnacentral:rRNA from 1 species